rnacentral:rRNA from 1 species
CUACGGGUGGCACCAGUGGGGAAUAUUGCACAAUGGGCGCAAGCCUGAUGCAGCAACGCCGCGUGAGGGAUGAAGGCCUUCGGGUUGUAAACCUCUUUUAGCAGGGAAGAAGCGAAAGUGACGGUACCUGCAGAAAAAGCACCGGCUAACUACGUGCCAGCAGCCGCGGUAAUACGUAGGGUGCAAGCGUUGUCCGGAAUUAUUGGGCGUAAAGAGCUCGUAGGCGGUUUGUCACGUCUGCUGUGAAAAUCCAAGGCUCAACCUUGGACUUGCAGCGGGUACGGGCAGGCUAGAGUGCGGUAGGGGAGAUGGGAAUUCCUGGUGUAGCGGUGGAGUGCGCAGAUAUCAGGAGGAACACCAAUGGCGAAGGCACAUCUCUGGGCCGUAACUGACGCUGAGGAGCGAAAGCGUGGGGAGCGAACAGGAUUAGAUACCCCUGUAGUC